rnacentral:lncRNA from 1 species
UGGCGUCUCAUCCCUAGGAUAGGAUCCUCAUCCCUUUAUCUCUCUUCCCUGAAGGUAUUGGCCGCCGGUGACCGGCCAAUGACUAGAAAACAAAAGAAAAAGUGGCAGUCCUCUAUUUUUUCCGAUUUCUUCUUGAUUUCUCGCCGGCCGAACCUUGCCGCCGGCCAUCCCUUGCUCCACCGCCGCCUCCACCUGCUGCC